rnacentral:snoRNA from 1 species
CCGGCGCUUGUGAUGAUUUACAUUUAAUAAGCAUAGUUCAUCUGAAUUUCUAUGAAGACACCUAUGUAGUUAUAGUCUUUCGCUCCCAUCUGAUGCGCCUU